UACGUAGGGUGCAAGCGUUAAUCGGAAUUACUGGGCGUAAAGCGUGCGCAGGCGGCUUUGCAAGACAGAUGUGAAAUCCCCGGGCUCAACCUGGGAACUGCAUUUGUGACUGCAAGGCUAGAGUACGGUAGAGGGGGAUGGAAUUCCGCGUGUAGCAGUGAAAUGCGUAGAUAUGCGGAGGAACACCGAUGGCGAAGGCAGCCCCCUGGGUCAAGAUUGACGCUCAUGCACGAAAGCGUGGGGAGCAAACAGG
rnacentral:rRNA from 2 species